rnacentral:rRNA from 1 species
GACAGAGGAUGCAAGCGUUAUCCGGAAUGAUUGGGCGUAAAGCGUCUGUAGGUGGCUUUUUAAGUCCGCCGUCAAAUCCCAGGGCUCAACCCUGGACAGGCGAUGGAAACUACCAAGCUGGAGUACGGUAGGGGAGACUGGAAUUCCUGGUGUAGCGGUGAAAUGCGCAGAUAUCAGGAGGAACACCGGUGGCGAAGGCGGGUCUCUGGGACGGUACUGACGCUGAGACGCGAAAGCGUGGGGAGCGAACAGG